rfam:Marine gamma proteobacterium HTCC2143 1100111000168, whole genome shotgun sequence.
GGCGAGGUAGCUCAGUUGGUUAGAGCACAUCACUCAUAAUGAUGGGGUCAGUGGUUCAAAUCCACUUCUCGCUA